CUAUCUCGUCCAACUCGCGACCGAGAGAAGAGAGGGCAAGGGAGAAGAUUGCCGCCGCUACCGAGCUGGUGGUUGGUCACCGCUGGGACCUCGGCUGGCUGCUCGUGUGUGCGCUGGGGUGGAGUCGUCAGCGUUCGCUUCAUCUAUUGACGGUGUGCGGUCCCUGGGCCAUCGCGAUUGCUCGCCGUCGUGCCAUCUCCGCCGUGGACUGCAUCUCGCCGUAGCCGGGGCCUCUUCGCCACCAAAUCCGUGAGGUCACGAGGAAUGAAGAAUCACCCUGGCUACUGGAAUCUCAAGUGCCAGGUUAAGGACAGGUACCACAGGAUAAGGUGCAUGGAGGAUGCCGCGAUGUGUUCGUGUGAGGUCUAGGGUGUCGUCUCCCAGUUGACUUUCUAGCGCCAAGGAUGGACUUUUAGUUCGAUCUAUAUUUAUCUUUUAUUUUGUAAGACUUCCGCUAUGUAAUAAAUACUCUGAUUAUAUUGUGACAUUUAUCUCUAUACACUCUGUUAUUAUAUAAAAAAAAAAAAAAA
rnacentral:lncRNA from 1 species